GAACGCUGGCGGCAUGCCUUACACAUGCAAGUCGAACGGCAGCACGGGAGCAAUCCUGGUGGCGAGUGGCGAACGGGUGAGUAAUAUAUCGGAACGUGCCCAGUCGUGGGGGAUAACGCAGCGAAAGCUGUGCUAAUACCGCAUACGAUCUACGGAUGAAAGCGGGGGAUCGCAAGACCUCGCGCGAUUGGAGCGGCCGAUAUCAGAUUAGCUAGUUGGUGGGGUAAAAGCCCACCAAGGCGACGAUCUGUAGCUGGUCUGAGAGGACGACCAGCCACACUGGAACUGAGACACGGUCCAGACUCCUACGGGAGGCAGCAGUGGGGAAUUUUGGACAAUGGGCGCAAGCCUGAUCCAGCAAUGCCGCGUGCAGGAUGAAGGCCUUCGGGUUGUAAACUGCUUUUGUACGGAGCGAAACGGCUUCCCUUAAUACGGGGAGCUAAUGACGGUACCGUAAGAAUAAGCACCGGCUAACUACGUGCCAGCAGCCGCGGUAAUACGUAGGGUGCGAGCGUUAAUCGGAAUUACUGGGCGUAAAGCGUGCGCAGGCGGUUAUAUAAGACAGAUGUGAAAUCCCCGGGCUCAACCUGGGACCUGCAUUUGUGACUGUAUAGCUAGAGUACGGUAGAGGGGGAUGGAAUUCCGCGUGUAGCAGUGAAAUGCGUAGAUAUGCGGAGGAACACCGAUGGCGAAGGCAAUCCCCUGGACCUGUACUGACGCUCAUGCACGAAAGCGUGGGGAGCAAACAGGAUUAGAUACCCUGGUAGUCCACGCCCUAAACGAUGUCAACUGGGUUGUUGGGUCUUCACUGACUCAGUAACGAAGCUAACGCGUGAAGUUGACCGCCUGGGGAGUACGGCCGCAAGGUUGAAACUCAAGGAAUUGACGGGGACCCGCA
rnacentral:rRNA from 1 species